CUGGUUCAUCUCAUUGGGACUGGUUGGACAGUGAGUGCAGCCCCUGGAGGGCUAGCCACAGCAGGGCCCUCAAUGUAUUGGAUGAUACCUGCCAAUACUGAAUGCUAUGCUUCAACGGUGACUGCAAUCUGACAUGGUUCCCCCAAAACCAUCUAAGA